GACGAACGCUGGCGGCGUGCCUAAUACAUGCAAGUCGAACGCAGUUGCGAACGGGUGAGUAACGCGUAGGUAAAUGCCUCAUAGCGGGGGAUAACUAUUGGAAACGAUAGCUAAUACCGCCUACUGUGAGCUGGACCUGCGUUGUAUUAGCUAGUUGGUGCGGUAAAGGCUCACCAAGGCCACGAUCCAUAGCCGACCUGAGAGGGUGACCGGGCAAACUUGGACUGGAGCACGGGCCAAACUCCUACGGGAGGCAGCAGUAGGGGAACAUCGGAAAAGGAGGGAAAGCUGACCGAGCAACGGCGCGGGAGUGAAGAAGGUUUUCGGAUCUUAAAGCUCUUUUGUUAGAGAAGCGGUAACUAACCAGAAAGGGACGGCUAACUACGUGCCAGCAGCCGCGGUAAUAC
rnacentral:rRNA from 1 species